UUAAAUUGAAGAGUUUGAUCAUGGCUCAGAUUGAACGCUGGCGGCAGGCCUAACACAUGCAAGUCGAACGGUAACAGGAAGCAGCUUGCUGCUUCGCUGACGAGUGGCGGACGGGUGAGUAAUGUCUGGGAAACUGCCUGAUGGAGGGGGAUAACUACUGGAAACGGUAGCUAAUACCGCAUAACGUCGCAAGACCAAAGAGGGGGACCUUCGGGCCUCUUGCCAU
rnacentral:rRNA from 1 species